rnacentral:rRNA from 1 species
GGGGGGUGCGAGCGUUGUCCGGAAUCACUGGGCGUAAAGGGCGCGUAGGUGGCGUGAUAAGGGUGUGGUGAAAGCCCGGGGCUCAACCCCGGGUCGGCCAUGCCGACUGUCAGGCUCGAGUGCUGUAGGGGCAGGCGGAAUUCCGGGUGUAGCGGUGGAAUGCGUAGAGAUCCGGAGGAAGACCGGUGGCGAAGGCGGCCUGCUGGGCAGUUACUGACACUGAUGCGCGACAGCGUGGGGAGCAAACAGGAUUAGAUACCCUGGUAGUCCACGCCGUAAACGAUGGGUACUAGGUGCCUGGGGGAGCGACCCCCUGGGUGCCGGCGCUAACGCAGGAAGUACCCCGCCUGGGGAGUACGGCCGCAAGGCUG